AAGAGGCUGAGCCAACCAAUAUUGAGGUUCCAGUGAUGGCUUAAAUCUUCGAGGAUUACCGUUCUGAUUGUCACCUGCUUGAGUUUUUGACUAUGCUAGUUUCUUAGUGUUUUUAUUUUGAGCUAACAUUUGACA